rnacentral:rRNA from 1 species
GAUGAACGCUGGCGGCGUGCCUAAUACAUGCAAGUCGAGCGAACAGACGAGGAGCUUGCUCCUCUGACGUUAGCGGCGGACGGGUGAGUAACACGUGGAUAACCUACCUAUAAGACUGGGAUAACUUCGGGAAACCGGAGCUAAUACCGGAUAAUAUAUUGAACCGCAUGGUUCAAUAGUGAAAGACGGUUUUGCUGUCACUUAUAGAUGGAUCCGCGCCGCAUUAGCUAGUUGGUAAGGUAACGGCUUACCAAGGCAACGAUGCGUAGCCGACCUGAGAGGGUGAUCGGCCACACUGGAACUGAGACACGGUCCAGACUCCUAUGGGAGGCAGCAGUAGGGAAUCUUCCGCAAUGGGCGAAAGCCUGACGGAGCAACGCCGCGUGAGUGAUGAAGGUCUUCGGAUCGUAAAACUCUGUUAUUAGGGAAGAACAAAUGUGUAAGUAACUAUGCACGUCUUGACGGUACCUAAUCAGAAAGCCGCGGCUAACUACGUG